rnacentral:rRNA from 1 species
AUGCUUAGGAGGAUGUUCCAAGGUGGUCCUUCAAGGAAGCAAGGUCCCAGGCUUGCAAUACGUGACGCUAACGAGGAACCACCAAGAGACGCUUCUGUGAGGCCUUGUGAAUGGCCAUCGGAAAAUUUUAUGAAUCAAGUGGGAAUCAAAGAAGAAUUUAGCACAUAUUUGAGUAACGCCGGUCUUGAGGACUUUGAAGCUGACAAAUGCCCCCAGUAUUAUGAUCUCACAAGUUCAUUUGUGAGAAGGUUUGAGUUUUCAUCUUCUUGUAAUUCUCCUUCAGUCAUGUUUGACCUUUAUGACAAAUCUUAUACCAUGGACUUAGAGGAUUUCACUUCUGCUUGCAAACUUCCAUCUUGGGGUAAUGUCAGGGAUCCCCCUAAUCCGAAUAUAGAGACUUUCUUGCUAGAAUAA